rnacentral:rRNA from 1 species
UUUCGCAAUGCCCGAAAGGGUGACGAAGCGACGCCGCGUGUGGGAAGAAGGCCCUCGGGUUGUAAACCACUGUCGGGAGUUAGGAAAUGUAAGGGUGCUAAUAGUAUCCUUGCUUGACUAAGGCUCCGGAGGAAGCCACGGCUAACUCUGUGCCAGCAGCCGCGGUAAUACAGAGGCGGCAAGCGUUGUUCGGAAUUAUUGGGCGUAAAGAGCACGUAGGCGGCCUUGUAAGUCAGUUGUGAAAGCCUUCUGCUUAACGGAAGAACAGCAGCUGAUACUGCAAGGCUAGAGUGCGGAAGGGGAGAGUGGAACUUCUGGUGGAGCGGUGAAAUGCGUAGAUAUCAGAAGGAACACCGGCGGCGAAGGCGACUCUCUGGUCCGUAACUGACGCUGAGUGUGCGAAAGCUAGGGGAGCAAACGGGAUUAGAUACCCCGGUAGUCCUAGCCGUAAACGAUGGGCACUAAGUAGAGGGGUUUUA